rnacentral:misc_RNA from 1 species
GAUGAAGAACGUAGCGAAAUGCGAUAAGUAAUGUGAAUUGCAGAAUUCAGUGAAUCAUCGAAUCUUUGAACGCACAUUGCGCCCCCUGGUAUUCCGGGGGGCAUGCCUGUCCGAGCGUCAUUACAACCCUCAAGCUCAGCUUGGUGUUGGGCCCCGCCGCCCCGGCGGGCCCUAAAGUCAGUGGCGGUGCCGUCCGGCUCCGAGCGUAGUAAUUCUUCUCGCUCUGGAGGUCCGGUCGUGUGCUCGCCAGCAACCCCCAAUUUUUUUCAGGUUGACCUCGGAUCAGUUAGGGAUACCCGCUGAACUUAAGCAUAUCAAUAAGCGGAGGA